UACGUAGGGUGCGAGCGUUGUCCGGAAUUACUGGGCGUAAAGAGCUCGUAGGUGGUUUGUCGCGUUGUUCGUGAAAACCUGAGGCUUAACCUUGGGCGUGCGGGCGAUACGGGCAGACUGGAGUACUGCAGGGGAGACUGGUAUUCCUGGUGUAGCGGUGGAAUGCGCAGAUAUCAGGAGGAACACCGGUGGCGAAGGCGGGUCUCUGGGCAGUAACUGACGCUGAGGAGCGAAAGCGUGGGGAGCGAACAGG
rnacentral:rRNA from 1 species